rnacentral:rRNA from 1 species
GAUGAACGCUGGCGGCGUGCCUAAUACAUGCAAGUCGAGCGAACAGAUAAGGAGCUUGCUCCUUUGAAGUUAGCGGCGGACGGGUGAGUAACACGUGGGUAACCUACCUAUAAGACUGGGAUAACUUCGGGAAACCGGAGCUAAUACCGGAUAACAUUUAGAACCGCAUGGUUCUAAAGUGAAAGAUGGUUUUGCUAUCACUUAUAGAUGGACCCGCGCCGUAUUAGCUAGUUGGUAAGGUAACGGCUUACCAAGGCGACGAUACGUAGCCGACCUGAGAGGGUGAUCGGCCACACUGGAACUGAGACACGGUCCAGACUCCUACGGGAGGCAGCAGUAGGGAAUCUUCCGCAAUGGGCGAAAGCCUGACGGAGCGACGCCGCGUGAGUGAUGAAGGGUUUCGGCUCGUAAAACUCUGUUAUUAGGGAAGAACAAAUGUGUAAGUAACUGUGCACAUCUUGACGGUACCUAAUCAGAAAGCCACGGCUAACUACGUG